AGGCAAAUUAAAAUACUGUAUAAUAAUAACAUAAAAUGCGAUGACACUGCCAUAGUAUGGAUAUUAAAUGUCCCCCAUAAGGCUGUGUAUUAAAGACUUAGUCCCCAUUUUGGUACUCUUGGGAAAUGAUAGAAACUUUAAGGAGGUAGGGCUUAGUGGGAAGUCUUAGGUCACUGGGAUCAUGUGCUUGAAGGGGAUAUUAGGAUUCUAGGUCCUUCUCUUCCCCUCUCAGCUUCCCAGCCACAAUGAGAUGAGGAGCUCACUCCAUCAUCCACUCCUGCCACGAUGGACAGUCUUGCCUCAGACACAAAAGCCAUGAUCCAUAGACUGAAACCUCCAAAUGUUUGGCAUGAUUUUUCCCAGCACCAGAGAUCGAACUCAGGACCUUGUGGUUGCCAGGCAGGCGCAGCGCCACUGAGCUACAUCCCCAACCCAAGAUAUUUUUGUUCUUGAGAGAGGCCAGAAAAUCAUGGGAUUUUUCUAGUUUUCCUUCAAGGAUGUGGAGAAAAAUUAGCUCUGAGGGUGGGUUUGAACUAGCAUUGUGCAAAUAAACAAACAUAUUUCAUCCCAUGAUGAAAGUCCUGGUGUUCCAACAUUUGUUAGGACUGAAUAAUAAUAGAAAUACAACAUAAAAGUUUGUGGGAAAUUGGUACUUAUAGGUAAUAAAUAAUUAUAUUGAAAAAAAGAAAGGCUGAAAAUAAAUGAUCUGUGCAUCCACCUUUAAAAAGAACAAUAGACUACCUAAAAAUAGAAUAAAAGCGGAAGAACAGAAAUUAAUGAGGAGUAAUUUAAAAAUCACAACAGAGAUGAUCAGCAAAGCUACAAGGUAAUUUGAAAACUUAGGGAAGUAGGCAAAACCACUAGUGAAAUGCAUCAGCAAAGGAAAAAGACUCAGACAUUAGGAAUGAAAAAUAGGACCAGGCACAGUGUUACACACUGGUAAUCCCAGCUACUCAGGAGGUUGAGGGAGGAGGAACUCAAGUUUAAGGCCAGCUUGGGCAACUUAGCUCGACCCCGCCUCAAAAUAAAAUGUAAAAAAAGGGCUGGGAAAGUAGUUCAGUGGUAGAGCACUUCCCUGGCAUGCCCUAGGCACUGAAUUCAGCCUCUAGUAUAAAAAAGAAAUAAAGAGACAUUUAUAGCUAAAUGGAUGCAUAUUGAGGCCAUCCUCUUGAGUGAAAUAAACAGGACACACAUGUAAAUACUGAAUAGUUUUCUCUAGUGUGAGAAACUGAAAGUGUAACUAAGGAUUAAAAUGAUUAAAAUGAAUAAUUGAUAAUUUGAAAUUGGAAGAAAAGGUCCAAAGGGGUAGCGGUGGCAGGAGGAGAAGGGCAGAGAUCAGUUACAGGCUGGAAUCUGGAAAGAAUCCAUACAUAGAUUGUGUUCAAAACUAUAGGAAGAGAUGUGGAUAGAGACUAGGCUGGAGCUCAUCAGUGGAUUGGGAAGGAAGAGUCACUGAGAUCAAAGGAGAAAAGGGUGUGUUUCCAGAAGAAGCACAUACAACUAUGUACAGUACACAGUACUCCAUAGUGUAAUAAAUGACUGUUAUUAUUUUAUGUACUUAUCAUAACAUGCUGUGCUUUUCAUCUUUUAGAGCAUAAUCCUACUUAUAUAAAAGAGUUUACUGUAAAACAGUGUGCUGCUAUGCCAGUGGUAACCUCAUGUAUAUGGUGUUUAACUGCGUAUUUGGAUAAUAUCAAGGGGCCAUCACAGAUGAUUGAUGUAUACCUUCUCAGUUUGCACUUAGAAGUUGGCACUCUGUGUGGUACUUUGCGAUACACACGGAUGAAAUUGCCUAAUAACAUAUUUCUCAGAUUAUAUUUCCAUCACGUGUCACAUGACUGUAUUGAAAUUUAAAUUUAAAAAAUUUGGCCUAUGUGGAGUCUACUAGCUAAUUAGAAUUUUUUUUCCAGACCAC
ensembl:lncRNA